rnacentral:misc_RNA from 1 species
GUUGCGUCACGGGUCGAUCUUUGAUCUCGACUUAUGAGUGACAAUAUGCUCGACGUCCAAGGCAUUGUGUAACCCAACGAGUGGGGAGUUUGAUUUGGGUGCUCUAAAUUGAACGAUCUGCGGCAGCGGCGAUUACGAUGUGGUGUUGACGUAAGUUGUGCCACAAAUUGACGUUGUUGUUGCUUGACGAUGAUGAUUUUGGAACUCGUGUUUCAUUUGACGAUGAGAUUUGUCAAUUAGUGUGGUGAUGUACAUGUGAUCUUAGUUUUGCGCUUACCGGGUUUCUUCAUGAGGCCUGCACUAUCGUUCCGAUUCUAUGGCAUGUUCUUGUUUGAUUGUUGCCUAUUGAUUGGAUUUGUUGGUGCUGCCGAUGACAUGAUUUGCCCGGUAAAUCGUAUAACUUUGGAUUGCGAUUUGACAUUGCUUCGUAUGUUGAUGAAUGUUGUUGAACGGUGAUGCAAGGGUUUCUUGGUUUGAUGUGUUGUUGUUGAUGACAUUCGUCUCAAGGGAUGUGGUGUCAUGUCUCUUGUGGAUCCUGGUUUCAAGCUUUUUGAGCUUAAAACUAUGGGAUUGUCGAUUGGUGACAGGGCAUCGCUUCCUUGGUUGAUGAAAGUCGUCCAAUGAUGCGGUGGUUUGUUGAUUUUGUUCUCGCAUCGUUCGGUGCAUUCUUGGGUCAUUUUGGCUGUUAGCGACUUGCUUGGCAUUUGAGCUUGGUUGGUGGCUAUUAGUUCGGUGUAUCCGGGGAUGUGUGUCGUAAAGGUGCAUGAGUGGUGUUUGGUUUGUUACGGGUGGUUGGCUCUUUGCUUGCGCAACAACUUCCACCUGGCAUACCUCUUCAGUCUUGUUUCAAUGCGUGUAUUGCGUUGAAUGCAUGAUGGGUUUCCUGUGUUGGAUGCCUAAUUGAUGGUAUCGUUUGAUGAAUCGGUUUCCCUUUUCGUCUUGUGUCGCCUAUGCGAUGUGAGAUGAACCUUGAAGCAGCCUUUGUGAUCCACUCCGUUGAUGCAUACGCAUUGAUUUUGUGGCCCAAUUGAGUGUUGCUCGGUCUCAUGGAUAUGGAACCUGGUGUGGGCAUGGAAUCUUAAUGGUUCUUUGUUUGCCCAAAUUUAGCUUUUCUAAAACGAUCGUCU